UGUCUACUCCCUCCGUUCCAAAUUACUCGUCGCUGAAAUGGAUGUAUCUAGAACUAAAAUACAUCUAGAUACAUCCAUAUGUGCGACAAGUAAUUCGGAACGGAGGGAGUAUUUC
rnacentral:pre_miRNA from 1 species